UACGGAGGGUGCAAGCGUUAAUCGGAAUUACUGGGCGUAAAGCGCACGCAGGUGGCUGAGUCAGUCGAUUGUGAAAGCCCUGGGCUUAACCUGGGAAUUGCAGUCGAUACUACUCAGCUAGAGUAUGGGAGAGGGCAGUGGAAUUCCCGGUGUAGCGGUGAAAUGCGCAGAUAUCGGGAGGAACAUCAGUGGCGAAGGCGGCUGCCUGGCCCAAUACUGACACUCAGGUGCGACAGCGUGGGGAGCAACAGG
rnacentral:rRNA from 1 species